CUACUAUGUUGAUGUUAAUUUAAAAAAAAAAAACAACAACUUCAUAAUAGUUUUACAACCAAAGUAAAUCCAGAAGAGGAUACCAACCAUUAAAAUACAAGAAAAGUCAAGCCUUGUGUGUUUAUUGGAGGACUUUGAAUGUUAACUGACUGUCUAGCUCUGCUAGAGGGAACGCAUUGCAAGGUCAGUACAGCUAUACUGUAUGUUCAUGUAGACACCUCGUGGUUUUCUGCCUGGACGCCGUCGGUUUGUCCUCGUCCAGCCUUCUCAGCACAGAAAUCGGUCAGGUUUUUUCUUUUUGGUUUGUUUUGUGCCUUGGACCUUCCAGUGAUGUAGAUGGCGAGCUAUCCCACCUAGAUCUAGAGAGGAGAGACCUAAGAGAUCCUGUGGUCCCUGGACAGGUCCUGCUGCACUCUGCGGUGUGGUAGGCCCAGUCUCUGCAGACACCCUCACACUCAGCCCUAUCAAACAAUUCCCCCUCUUUCCCACACACUUGCCCCUGGAACUCUGAACACUGAACACCCCAGACUUUGUUUUUUCCUCAUUUAUAGAACUCUGAGCUCAUUCCUAUUUUUUUGGGACCUCUUUUUAUUGGACUUCGACUUGAUUCAACAUGUGAACUUACAAUUUCAUUCCAGGAACUGUGUGUUAGUGGCUGAGUAGUAGGAUAUCCUCCUUCAGUGAAUGCUGUUUGUACAUUUUUUGAUAUUAUUAUUUUUUGGUUAUCAUGAGUGUUUGAACUGGAUGUGAAUUUUGAAACCUAAACUUGAAUUUAGGGUUGAUACGGAAAAUGAAAGGGUGCACCCAAGGUAAA